rnacentral:rRNA from 1 species
CCUACGGGAGGCUGCAGUAGGGAAUUUUCGGCAAUGGGGGGAACCCUGACCGAGCAACGCCGCGUGAACGAAGAAGUUAUUCGUAAUGUAAAGUUCUUUUAACAGGGAAGAAAGAGAAAUUUGACGGUACCUGAAGAAUAAGCUCCGGCUAACUACGUGCCAGCAGACGCGGUCAUACGUAGGGAGCGAGCGUUAUCCGGAAUUAUUGGGCGUAAAGGGUGCGUAGAUGGCAUAGUAAGUCUUUGGUAAAAAUGCUGGGCUCAACCCAGUAGGGCAAAAGAUACUGCAAAGCUAGAGUAUGACAGAGGCAAGUGGAACUACAGGUGUAGCGGGAAAAUGCGUAAAUAUAUGUAAGAACACCAGUGGCGAAGGCGGCUUGCUGGGUCGAUACUGACGUUGAGGCACGAAAGCGUGGGGAGCGAACAGGAUUAGUUACCCUUGUAGUC